rnacentral:snoRNA from 1 species
CGUGAGGGUGAUGAGUUGCACUGUGUGAGGUCAGUGUGUGACGCUGACCUCGCUCUGACCUCCUGAAGAGCGCUCGUGUGCACAGGGCCAUCUGACUCACU